UGUAACUCAAUGACAGCGCUCUGCCUCAGUGCUGCCAUAGAUUCCCUGCUAACUAGAAGCUGAGGGAAUACAUGGUCUGCAUGCAGUCUGUGCUGUACCAAACUGAUAAACGGAGAUGGGCGAUCUGUUUCACGUCAGAUCAAGGAUGAGAAGAGUAUUUUUUUGACGGGACGGGACGGCCUGGCCCAGUUGUUUGGGCUUGGAUUGAGUGGCAUGCUACAGUCAGGAAACGGGACACAAUGUGGGGCCUGAGCACGCAUUCUGAGCUGAGCUGAGUGGAGGAUUCUGGGCCAGGAAGGAGAGGAGGAGCACAUAAACACACACUCACACACACAGAGAUGCACACACUCAUCCCAUUCCAAAUGCGGGAGGAGGAGAGAGAAGGAUCCCACAGAGAGGAUGAUGCAACAAGAGUGAAAUUUUUCGGCCGGAACACAUGCUGCAUUAACGCAGACCUGCAGGAUGAAAAAAAAACACACGCACUUCUUUCUCUCUUUGUUCAAAGCCAAAUGUGGUUUUAUGCUUUGUUUUAUAUUUAAUUUUUUUGAGCAGAAGUCACUUUACUAAUGGCAACCUGUAACACCUAAUUGCCUGCAAUAAAACACAGCACGAGUCUUUCAUG